GAUGAACGCUGGCGGCGUGCCUAAUACAUGCAAGUCGAGCGAACAGACGAGGAGCUUGCUCCUCUGACGUUAGCGGCGGACGUGUGAGUAACACGUGGAUAACCUACCUAUAAGACUGGGAUAACUUCGGGAAACCGGAGCUAAUACCGGAUAAUAUAUUGAACCGCAUGGUUCAAUAGUGAAAGACGGUUUUGCUGUCACUUAUAGAUGGAUCCGCUCCGCAUUAGCUAGUUGGUAAGGUAACGGCUUACCAAGGCAACGAUUCGUAGCCGACAUGAGAGGGUGAUCGGCCACACAGGAACUGAGACACGGUCCAGACUCCUACGGGAGGCAGCAGUAGGGAAUCUUCCGCAAUGGGCGAAAGCCUGAAGGAGCAACGCAGAGUGAGUGAUGAAGGUCUUAGGAUCGUAAAACUCUGUUAUUAGGGAAGAACAAAUGUGUAAGUAACUAUGCACGUCUUGACGGUACCUAAUCAGAAAGCCACGGCUAACUACGUG
rnacentral:rRNA from 1 species